UUUCGUCUGCAAACUGAGAGGAUGAGAAUCUCCAAAGGAGGUUUGAGCCGAACGUAGUGAGACCACGUUGCUUUGGCAACGGCCCGCAGGGCGCGCAUCAACGAUGCGCGUAAUCCUCUCUCGCCGACCA
rnacentral:sRNA from 1 species